UCCCUGGUGGCUUAGCGGAUAAAGUGUCUGCCUGUAAUGCGGGAGACCCAGGUUCGAUCCCUAGGUCGGGAA
rnacentral:tRNA from 1 species